GGUCUAGUGGCGCACGGGUGCGUAACGCGUGGGAAUCUGCCCCCUGGUUCGGGAUAACCGUUGGAAACGACGGCUAAUACCGGACGAUGACGUAAGUCCAAAGAUUUAUCGCCUGGGGAUGAGCCCGCGUAGGAUUAGCUAGUUGGUGGGGUAAAGGCCUACCAAGGCGACGAUCCUUAGCUGGUCUGAGAGGAUGAUCAGCCACACUGGGACUGAGACACGGCCCAGACUCCUACGGGAGGCAGCAGUGGGGAAUAUUGGACAAUGGGCGAAAGCCUGAUCCAGCAAUGCCGCGUGAGUGAUGAAGGCCUUAGGGUUGUAAAGCUCUUUUACCCGGGAUGAUAAUGACAGUACCGGGAGAAUAAGCCCCGGCUAACUCCGUGCCAGCAGCCGCGGUAAU
rnacentral:rRNA from 1 species